rfam:Asian citrus Psyllid, Diaphorina citri - Florida Strain, whole genome shotgun sequence.
GCCUAGUUAGCUUAGUUGGUAGUGCGUCUGCCUUGUAAGCGCUAGGCCGCGGGUUCGAUUCCCGCGCGGGGCG